rnacentral:rRNA from 1 species
UACGGAGGUGGCAAGCGUUGUUCGGAUUUACUGGGUGUAAAGGGCAUGUAGGUGGUUGGAAAAGUCCCAAUUGAAAUACUUCGGCUCAACCGGAGAAGUGGUUGGGAAACUCUCUGACUUGAGUUCGGGAGAGGAGAAUGGAAUUCCCGGUGUAAAGGUGAAAUUUGUAGAGAUCGGGAGGAACACCAGUGGCGAAGGCGAUUCUCUGGCCCGAAACUGACACUGAAAUGCGAAAGCUAGGGGAGCAAACAGGAUUAGAUACCCGCGUA